ACGAACGCUGGCGGCGUGCUUAACACAUGCAAGUUGAACGAGAAUUUUUCGAGUGAUUUCUUCGGAAUGAUCAUGAAAAAGGAAAGUAGCGAACGGGUGAGUAACACGUGAGAAACCUGCCUUUCACAAAGGGAUAGCCUCGGGAAACCGGGAUUAAUACCUUAUGAAACCAAACACUCGCAUGAGAGAUUGGUUAAAGAUUUAUCGGUGUUAGAUGGUCUCGCGUCUGAUUAGCUAGUUGGUGGGAUAAAAGCCUACCAAGGCAACGAUCAGUAGCCGGAUUGAGAGGUUGAACGGCCACACUGGAACUGAGACACGGUCCAGACUCCUACGGGAGGCGGCAGUGGGGAAUUUUGCACAAUGGAGGAAACUCUGAUGCAGCGACGCCGCGUGAGUGAUGAAGGUCUUCGGAUUGUAAAACUCUGUCCUUAGUGAAGAUAAUGACAGUAACUAAGAAGCAAGCCCUGGCUAAAUACGUG
rnacentral:rRNA from 1 species